GAUGAAGAACGCAGCAAAAUGCGAUAAGUAAUGUGAAUUGCAGAAUUCAGUGAAUCAUCGAAUCUUUGAACGCACAUUGCGCCUGCCAGUAUUCUGGCGGGCAUGCCUGUUCGAGCGUCAUUUCAACCCUCAAGCACAGCUUGGUGUUGGGACUCGCGUUAAUUCGCGUUCCCCAAAUUGAUUGGCGGUCACGUCGAGCUUCCAUAGCGUAGUAGUAAAACCCUCGUUACUGGUAAUCGUCGCGGCCACGCCGUUAAACCCCAACUUCUGAAUGUUGACCUCGGAUCAGGUAGGAAUACCCGCUGAACUUAAGCAUAUCAAUAAGCGGAGGA
rnacentral:misc_RNA from 1 species